UACGAAGGGGGCUAGCGUUGCUCGGAAUUACUGGGCGUAAAGGGAGCGUAGGCGGGUUAUCAAGUUGGAGGUGAAAGCCCAGGGCUCAACCUUGGAAUUGCCUUCAAAACUGAUAGCCUAGAGUAUGAUAGAGGUAAGUGGAACUCCGAGUGUAGAGGUGAAAUUCGUAGAUAUUCGGAAGAACACCAGUGGCGAAGGCGACUUACUGGAUCAUGACUGACGCUGAGGCACGAAAGCGUGGGGAUCAAACAGG
rnacentral:rRNA from 1 species